rnacentral:rRNA from 1 species
AGAGGGGGCAAGCGUUGCUCGGAAUUACUGGGCGUAAAAGGCGCGUAGGCGGGAUGGUAAGUCGGUCGUGAAAUCCCUCGGCUCAACCGAGGAACGUCGAUCGAUACUACCGUUCUUGAGGAUUGCAGAGGAGACUGGAAUUCCCGGUGUAGCGGUGAAAUGUGUAGAGAUCGGGAGGAACACCGGUGGCGAAGGCGGGUCUCUGGGCAAUUCCUGACGCUGAGGCGCGAAAGCGUGGGGAGCAAACGGGAUUAGAUACCCCGGUAGUCCACGCUGUAAACGAUGAGCACUAGGUGGUGGGGGGGUUCAGUCCCUUCCGUGCCGCAGCUAACGCAUUAAGUGCUCCGCCUGGGGAGUACGGCCGCAAGGUUG